rnacentral:rRNA from 1 species
CCCGGUACGGCGAGCGUCGUUUAUCGGAAGGCUUAGGCCACUAUGAAAAAACAGUAAAGAUAGAGCGUUAGAAGAGCUAGCAUCCAUCGUCGAUCCUAGCGACACUAAUAUGCCAUGGCCUUCUUCGUAACGACAACGCGACCUCCACCAGCAUGCAAAACCGCCGCCGCCUCUACCCACCGAGCCUGGUCUUCCGCCGGCCGCCGCCGCCCCGGCACCCGCCGUUCCGGCGCGCACGCACGCUGCCCACGUACGCCGCCGCGCGCGCCACCAUGACGCGCCGGCUGCUGCGGAAGGACACGGUCCCUACACUGUGCAGCCACGUGAGCCGCUUGGGCGAGCGGUCCGCCGUGCUCGCGGAGGCGGACGCGCGCUGCAGGGGCGACGGCCGGCUCCCGCACCGGCGCCACUUCCCCAGCGGCCGCUGCUGCAGGUUCACGGACCUGCAGCGCGGCCGCACCGGCUUCUCCUUCCGCGCAUGAGCCGCGGGCGGCCAGUUCUCGCAGCCCGUCGACGACAGCUCCGCGGAGCACCACGGGCUCCACCCUCGGCCCCUCAGGAGGUGCAGCCUGCUCGCCUCACGCGGGCUCCUCCUCGUCGACGAGAUGGCGCACGGCCAGAAACUAGGGCGGGAGCGGCUCAAGACGAGCGGCGGCGGCUAGCUACUGAGUGCGGUGUCACUCCUGCAGCUUCCGCGGCACCUUCUGCGCUUCCUCGAGUACCGGCUCGUCAGGGGGCACGUCCUCGAGGGGCUAACAAAGCGGUCAAAGCCGGGCUGCCUACGGCUAGAGUCCCUCAAGCGCCGGCUGUACCUUCGCGAGGAGCCGGUUCCGGACCUGCUGCCGUUGCUCUACCUCCUGAGCAAGAUGUACCUCCGGGAUCCCGAGUAUAGCGGCGGCCCUCUUGUGCUGCCCGCCCAUUUCCACCUCCGGCUGCCGCCGGAACAGAGGUCUUCGUUGCCGCAAGACCGCAGACCGGUACUGGACUUCGCCCUCAAGUCGCCGUCGGGCGGCUGUGACCACCUACUGCUGCUGUCAAAGCUCGUGUUCUGCAGCAGCCGCUCGUUGCCCCUGCGGCAACUGCUACGCGUCAAGAACUUUUCCUCGGACCUAGAAUCCGACUUGAUGCUCCGCCAGUACCUCUCGACCCCGUCGAGCGGCACCUGGCUGCCCGCCGCCGGCGGGCCGGUCGAGCUGCUGAACAACGAGGUGCUGGUGCGCCACGUACGUGCUAAAACGUCGAAUUAAGUGAUAUACGAGCUAUGUCAAUUGAACAUAUAAAUUGGUACCACGUACCACAUCCCGUACACCUGCCGGCCUCCUCCUCCUCCUCCUGCCGUACCGCUCCGCCGCACCGGCGGCUCCGGCUCCUGCCUGCUCACCGCCCUCCGCGCCCACAGCGCCAUGGCCCUCUUCGCCGCCUGCGCCGACAAGCGGUUCUUCUAUGCGAUGCUCCACGCCUUCGACUUGCGCCUCUUCGCCGGGGCCUACUUCCCGGCGAAGCAGUUCGCGUGGCCGCGGCGCCGCCGGCGGCGGGGCACGCGGCAGUGGACUGGAUCGGCUUGAUCCGGCAACGUGGCACGCACAGCUAACGACGCGCGCGCCAUGUCUAACGCAGCACGAGCAGACUCAGUGCACGUAGCGUACUUUAAUGUGUGUGGGUGUGUGUUUUGAACAGCUUCGACGAAAUUAAUCACAGAUAAAACAAGCAGUCCUUACUAACAGAAAAAAGCAAAGAAAGGAACCACUAAGGCCGUCACCUCUUCCCAGCCCUUGUGUUUCCAAAAGACUCGAACAAUCGAGUGGUACUCUUUACCAAAACCCAACCACCAAAAACGCUGGAAAAAGAGGGCAAAGAUGACACUCUCUACUCUCUUCCUAUCCACCAAGACGCACGUAGAAUACCAACGUGAACAUGUGAACAUGUAAACAUGUACUAACAUUAUUUAAUUUCAUAUAUUUAACCAACGUUGAGAACGUACAUGGCACAUAUAGUCGUCCAAUCAUGUAUUAUAAGGG